AUUCCGGUUGAUCCUGCCGGAGGCUAUUGCUAUCGGGGUCCGAUUCAGCCAUGCUAGUUGUACGGGUUCAGACCCGUAGCAAAUAGCUCCGUAACACGUGGUCAAACUACCCUCUGGACCGGGAUAUCCUCGGGAAACUGAGGUCAAUCCCAGAUACUGCUUUCAUGUUGGAAUACAGAAAGUCGGAAACGGUCCGCCGCCGGAGGACGUGACUGCGGCCGAUUAGGUAGACGGUGGGGUAACGGCCCACCGUGCCGAUAAUCGGUACGGGUUGUGAGAGCAAGAACCCGGAGACGGUAUCUGAGACAAGAUACCGGGCCCUACGGGGCGCAGCAGGCGCGAAACCUUUACACUGCACGCCAGUGCGAUAAGGGGACCCCGAGUGCGAGGGCAUACAGUCCUCGCUUUUCGUGACCGUAAGAAGGUCUCAGAAUAAGAGCUGGGCAAGACCGGUGCCAGCCGCCGCGGUAAUACCGGCAGCUCGAGUGAUAGCCACUAUUAUUGGGCCUAAAGCGUCCGUAGCCGGCCGAACAGGUCCGUCGGGAAAUCCACCCGCUCAACGGGUGGGACGUCCGGCGGAAACCAGUCGGCUUGGGGCCGGGAGACCAGAGAGGUACGUCCGGGGUAGGAGUGAAAUCCUGUAAUCCUGGACGGACCACCGGUAGCGAAAGCGUCUCUGGAGAACGGACCCGACGGUGAGGGACGAAAGCUUGGGUCU
rnacentral:rRNA from 1 species